UGGCGCACGGGUGAGUAACGCGUAACUGACCUACCCCGAAGUCUGGAAUAACUGGCCGAAAGGUCAGCUAAUACCGGAUACCCAGAUGACUUCUGAGUCAUCUGGAAAGAUUUAUUGCUUUGGGAUGGGGUUACGUUCCAUCAGCUGGUUGGUAGGGUAAAGGCCUACCAAGGCGACGACAGAUAGCCGGCCUGAGAGGGUGGCCGGCCACAGGGGCACUGAGACACGGGCCCC
rnacentral:rRNA from 1 species